CGGCUUGUCGUGGGAUUCGCAUGCAAUGUCUAGCCAGUGUUCCUGCUCCACUUCCUCCAGACUCACGCUGCCGGCUCCUGGGAGUCCCGUCACUCCGGCCUCAUCAGGCAAAAAGCUACUGCUCUCAUCUGUCAUGGAAACGCUGUCGUGCUCAGAGCUUGCUUGAAUUAGCCCAAUAUUGUGACAUGAAGACUGAGCUUCUGAAUUGUGAAUCUGAAGAGCAGAAUGAAGUUUUUCCGGCCAGAUCGGUUCUCCUGAACGUGGAGCCCAAAUGGAGUCGAGGAUUUGCUGUGGAACAUCCUCUUCCUUGCUGUAAAAUACAGAAUCGUCCCCUUCAGUCGUAAGCAGAGGCGGCUGAUGCACCGUGUCCUCCUGAGCUCCUCCACUGAUGACCACGUCUUUCUCUGGAGCGGUGUUGCUCGGAAUAUCAAGCGCACUCGUAAUAUCGGCCAUUUCAGACACGCUUUUUGUUUCCAUAUUUUUCCUUUCUCUCUCUUUAGCACAUCAGAAGUCUGGUCAAAAUGCUGUCCGUCAUGUCUGUUUCCCUCCGUCACACUUACAUCCUUCACACUUGCAUUCUAAUGACCAGUCUGUGACAGGCAGGGCUUUUGUACUCAUGUGUGAUGUAUUUCUUUAACCACUAGAGAACAGGGGAUUUGUAUCGACCCAAAUGAAUGGCCUUUUGUCUGCUGUUCCAUUACAAACAAACCGUUUGUCCUCGUGUUUUAAUCCUGCCCGAGGUAUUUUAAGGCCUGAUUAACAUUCUCAGUCAUGGAGGAUUUGUGCCUGAUUUUUUUUCUGUACCCCUGCUACGGCUAGCAAUUUUAUUACAUGUAAUUAUACACAGGACUGGAGCAUGAGGUAAAACAGUAACACACUGGGGCUGUAAGUAGCCAUAAUUAUACACAAUGGAACCGACCGCUUUUUUUAGGAUUAAUUAUUCAGGUUAAUUACAAACGAUGCACUGAUCUAGCACCAUGCGUUAAUAUCACGGCUGACACUGGGCUUAAACAUUGACUCGGCAUUGGACCGAAUCUCAUCCACUGAUCGUAUUUUAUUCUGUGAAUCAGUGGGGAAAAUACUCCUCAUCGGAGUAGGUACUCCUCGUCGGGACGUUAGUAUGUGUCGUCAUUUUAUUAAACCAUUAAGUCAUUUUGAAGCCCUGCUGUAAAUGAGUUUCUCUGAUGAUCCCAUUUGUAAAUCACACGACCCCAACCCGGGGUCAUGACCCCUAGAUUGGCGACCACUACUGUGGGCUUGCAUAAGUAUUCACCUCCUCAAACUUUUGCAGAUUGGAACUGAAUAUUACAACCUGGAACUGAAAUUGACUUAUUUCUGGUUAUGCCAAUGAAUCUUCACAAAAUAACACAUAAUAUUGGAUAUUAAAAUGUGUGUGUACAUUCCAUAUAAACUCCACAUGGAAGCAUGGUGGUGGUUGCACUAUAGUAACAGCUUCUCUGACUAAUGCAAUCCUUAAUUAGUCCCUGACUUUUGGUAGAUGAUGACUGUGACAUUUAUUUAUUUUUAUUUAUUUUUUUCAUUUUUAAAUAAUCAAACUGAUUGAUAUUUUUCCAGAACUUUAUCCCAGUUUUUUUUUUUUUUUUUUUUUUUUUUUUUUUUUUUUUUUAAAUUAUUCCGAAUGAUAGCUGCUUGGUGUUUAUGAUGCUGUUUGUUUAGGUGUGCAUUCUAAGAAAAUCUUGGGCCUUCAAGGAACAGGUGUAUUUAUGGUCUCUUUGAUUUUGUGGCUACACCUGCAUCAAAGAGUGAAACAUAGAAUAUGCUGUUCCAUUGGCCCACUGUAUGUGGGCUGCUGCAAAUGCAUGUGAUGUCGACUGGCACGACAGAUCUUUGACACUCAAAGCUCUGAUAAUGUUAAUGUUAUCAAACAUGGAAAUACAGGAUUGGGCCUUCUCUAUUAUUUAUUCUGCUUGUAAUGUGAAAAACUAGUAAAUAUUUCAGAUUGUAUUUUUAUGUCAUUGCAAUUUAAAUGAAUUACAAUUAAUUCAGGCACUAAGAGAAUGGAAACUUAUCCCAAUUAACCCUAAGCCUGUGCUACAGAAUUAGCUGAAAACAAUGAUGUUUUGGUUCGUUUGUGUGUUGUAGAUUUUGCGCCAACGUGUAUGCGAAGAAUUUGGUGUUUGUUUAAUGAAGAAAGAAACGUACAAUAAAACAUUUUGCGUCAUAUUAUAUUUCAGUUUUCUUCUUUUUGAGAUAUUAAGCCUUUGUGAUUAAAAAAAUAUAUAUAUA